AUGACAAAGUUGAAUUUUUGCAAUCUUAAGACCCAUCGGAUGAGGCGGCUGUUGGUUUUAGUGGAUCCCAUGACCCAUUGCAGAGCGGAAUGGUCUGUGACAACCGUGAAAAGCUUGUAUUCCAGUUCUUUUCUCUGCGAGAGAAUGGCUCCCAGUCCAGUAUCACUGGCAUCUGUGUAAACAAUGAACGGGACUUGCAGAUCAGGGUGGCCGAGAAUGGGGGGCGAGGGAAUUGAGGGGC